rnacentral:tRNA from 1 species
GCUUUCGUAGUUCAAAGGAUAGAACCACGGUUUCCUAAACCGUUAAUCCCGGUUCGAGUCCGGGCGGAGGCGCCA